GCCCAUUGAUAAUUUUAAAUGGCCGCAGUAUUUUAACUGUGCUAAGGUAGCAUAAUCAUUUGUUUCUUAAUAAGAGACUUGUAUGAAAGGUUCAACGAAGAAAAAGCUUUUUUUGAUUUACCUAGAUGAAAUUUACUUUUUAGUUAAAAGGCUAAAAUUAUUCAAAAAGACGAGAAGACCCUAAAGAGUUUUAUACCCUAGAUCUGUUAGUGUUAAUAAGCAUUUUUCUCUUUCUAAAUUUUGUGGUAUUUGAUUGGGGCGAUCAAAAAAUAAAAAAAACUUUUUAAAAAAAUAACUUUUUUCUAAGAUCAAAUGAUCCUAUAUUAGUGAUUACAAGAAAAAAUUACCUUAGGGAUAACAGCGUUAUACUUAUUGAGAGUUCUUAUUGACAUAAGUGUUUGCGACCUCGAUGUUGGACUAAAAAUAUUCCAUAAUGCAGCAGUUAUGGUGGUGGGUCUGUUCGACCUUUAAUCUUUUACGCGAUCUGAGUUCAGACCGGCGUGAGCCAGGUUG
rnacentral:rRNA from 1 species